rnacentral:lncRNA from 1 species
AUGAUUACAAGCGUAAUGGGAAUUUACUAGAUUGUACCUGCUAUUAGUAACUUUAUGGUCUCCUAAAUGGAUCAUCUAAGCUACUUUUUUGAAUUGCUAGCCUUGGUUGGGAGGAUAGCAAAGUGGUUGAUUGUGUUAUCUGAAUUUUUCUAGUCUAUUCCACUCAUAAGAUCAUCACGAGACGAGCAUCGGUAGAAUUUCUAUAUGGAAACCCGAUAGAAAUAGAGAAAAUAGAGGUAGGAUUCCCUAAUGAAG